GGCGAACGGGUGAGUAAAGCAUCGGAACGUACCGUGUAGUGGGGGAUAACGUAGCGAAAGUUACGCUAAUACCGCAUACGCACUGAGGUGGAAAGCAGGGGAUCGUAAGACCUUGCGCUAUACGAGCGGCCGAUGUCAGAUUAGCUAGUUGGUAGGGUAAAGGCCUACCAAGGCGACGAUCUGUAGCGGGUCUGAGAGGAUGAUCCGCCACACUGGGACUGAGACACGGCCCAGACUCCUACGGGAGGCAGCAGUGGGGAAUUUUGGACAAUGGGGGCAACCCUGAUCCAGCCAUGCCGCGUGAGUGAAGAAGGCCUUCGGGUUGUAAAGCUCUUUCGGCCGGGAAGAAAUCGCACAGGCUAAUACCCUGUGUGGAUGACGGUACCGGCAUAAGAAGCACCGGCUAACUACGUGCCAGCAGCCGCGGUAAUACGUAGGGUGCGAGCGUUAAUCGGAAUUACUGGGCGUAAAGCGUGCGCAGGCGGUUAGAUAAGUUUGAUGUGAAAUCCCCGGGCUCAACCUGGGAACUGCAUUGAAGACUGUCUGACUAGAGUACGGCAGAGGGGGGUGGAAUUCCACGUGUAGCAGUGAAAUGCGUAGAGAUGUGGAGGAACACCGAUGGCGAAGGCAGCCCCCUGGGCCGAUACUGACGCUCAUGCA
rnacentral:rRNA from 1 species